rnacentral:tRNA from 1 species
GUGGGUACAGCUCAGUGGUAAAGCACAUGCUUAGCAUGCACGAGGGGCUGGGUUCAAUCCCCAGUACCCACA